rnacentral:rRNA from 1 species
AACGAACGCUGGCGGCGCGCCUAACACAUGCAAGUCGAACGAGAAUCCGGGGCAACCCGGUAGUAAAGUGGCAAACGGGUGAGGAAUACAUGGGUAACCUACCCUUGAGAAGGGAAUAACCCGCCGAAAGGUGAGCUAAUACCCUAUACGCUAUCUUUUUUUCGAAAAGGAUAGGAAAGCCGGGUCGAGGACCUGGUACUCAAGGAGGGGCUCAUGUCCUAUCAGCUUGUUGGUGGGGUAACGGCCUACCAAGGCUACGACGGGUAGCUGGUCUGAGAGGAUGAUCAGCCACACUGGCACUGAGAUACGGGCCAGACUCCUACGGGAGGCAGCAGUGAGGAAUAUUGCGCAAUGGGCGAAAGCCUGACGCAGCGACGCCGCGUGGGGGAUGAAGGUUUUCGGAUUGUAAACCCUUUCAUGAGGAAAGAUAAAGUGGGUAACCACUUAGACGGUACCUCAAGAAGAAGCCACGGCUAACUUCGUG